rnacentral:rRNA from 1 species
CCUACGGGAGGCAGCAGUAAGGAAUAUUGGUCAAUGGGCGCAAGCCUGAACCAGCCAUGCCGCGUGCAGGAAGACGGCCCUAUGGGUUGUAAACUGCUUUUGAACAAGAGAAAACCUCGGUACGUGUACCGAGCUGAUAGUAUUGUUAGAAUAAGCAUCGGCUAACUUCGUGCCAGCAGCCGCGGUAAGACGAAGGAUGCAAGCGUUAUCCGGAUUCAUUGGGUUUAAAGGGUGCGUAGGCGGCCUGAUAAGUCAGUGGUGAAAUCUCUCAGCUUAACUGAGAAACUGCCAUUGAUACUGUCGGGCUUGAGUACAGAUGAUGUGGGCGGAAUAUGACAUGUAGUGGUGAAAUACUUAGAUAUGUCAUAGAACACCGAUUGCGAAGGCAGCUCACAAAACUGUAACUGACGCUGAGGCACGAAAGUGCGGGGAUCAAACAGGAUUAGAUACCCUGGUAGUCCGCACCGUAAACGAUGAUUACUCGUUGUUGGCAAUAUGACCGUCAGCGACCAAGCGAAAGCGAUAAGAAUCCACCUGGGGAGUACGCCGGCAACGGUGAAACUUAAAUGAAUUGACGGCGNGAGAGNGCGACGGACGACACGAGGGAGGAGG